rnacentral:tRNA from 1 species
UGGCAUGUGAUGAAGUGGUAACAUAGCAGUCUUUGACACUGCCUAUUCGAGAGUUCAAAUCUCUCCGUGCCAGCCA